GCUAACCAAGUUUCACAGGACUGCUCAGC
rnacentral:piRNA from 1 species